CCUGCCAACAUGGGGCUACCUGCAGUCCUCACAACACCUGUUCCUGUCCUGAGGGCACAGCAGGCCUGCGCUGUGAGAAACUGACAUGCCCUGUGGUCACCACUGUGGUCAGCAUGGCUCGGGCAGUGAGAAAGGCCUUUAGGGAAAGUUAUGUUGACCGGUGUGGACCCCUUGGAGUUCAGCUUUGCACUAAAUACAGAAUAAACCAGGCACGUGUGUACCUGCAAGCCUACAGAGUGGGCUACAAAAUCCAGUGUCCACAGAGGAAGGGCAGGUGAAGCAUUUGCAUCUCACCCUGAGGAAACAACCAACAGACAACA